UGAGUUUGAUUCUGGCUCAGGAUGAACGCUGGCGGCGUGCUUAACACAUGCAAGUCGAACGAACCUUCGGGUUAGUGGCGGAUGGGUGAGUAACGCGUGAGAAUCUGCCCUCAGGAGGGGGAUAACGGUUGGAAACGACCGCUAAUACCCCAUAUGCCUACUGGUGAAAUGAAUUUCGCCUGAGGAUGAGCUCGCGUCUGAUUAGCUAGUUGGUGAGGUAAUAGCUCACCAAGGCUUCGAUCAGUAGCUGGUCUGAGAGGAUGAUCAGCCACACUGGGACUGAGACACGGCCCAGACUCCUACGGGAGGCAGCAGUGGGGAAUUUUCCGCAAUGGGCGAAAGCCUGACGGAGCAACGCCGCGUGAGGGACGAAGGCCUCUGGGCUGUAAACCUCUUUUCUCAAGGAAGAAGAUAUGACGGUACUUGAGGAAUAAGCCACGGCUAAUUCCGUGCCAGCAGCCGCGGUAAUACGGGAGUGGCAAGCGUUAUCCGGAAUUAUUGGGCGUAAAGCGUCCGCAGGCGGCUUUUCAAGUCUGCUGUUAAAGCGUGGAGCUUAACUCCAUCAUGGCAGUGGAAACUGAG
rnacentral:rRNA from 1 species